rnacentral:rRNA from 1 species
UACGUAGGGGGGCAAGCGUUGUCCGGAAUUAUUGGGCGUAAAGCGCGCGCAGGCGGUCAUUUAAGUCUGGUGUUUAAUCCUGGGGCUCAACCCCAGUUCGCAUCGGAAACUGGACGACUUGAGUGUAAGAGAGGAAAGUGGAAUUCCACGUGUAGCGGUGAAAUGCGUAGAGAUGUGGAGGAACACCGGUGGCGAAGGCGGCGUUCUGGACUGCAACUGACACUGAUGAACGAAAGCCAGGGGAGCAAACGGG